UACAGAGGUGGCAAGCGUUGUUCGGAAUUACUGGGCGUAAAGGGCGCGUAGGCGGCCAUCUAAGUCAGACGUGAAAUCCCCCGGCUUAACCUGGGAACUGCGUCUGAUACUGGACGGCUUGAGUUCGGGAGAGGGAAGCGGAAUUCCGGGUGUAGCGGUGAAAUGCGUAGAUAUCCGGAGGAACACCGGUGGCGAAGGCGGCUUCCUGGACCGACACUGACGCUGAGGCGCGAAAGCUAGGGGAGCAAACGGG
rnacentral:rRNA from 1 species